CAACGAUCCACGUCUAGUGGGGAACAUCGCCAAUAUCCAAACCGUAACCAACGCAGAACCCGAGGUACCAAUCAAGGACAUCGAGGUGGGGAGACUACGGGUCAUCAGACAUCCACUAUGACAACCCGCUCUCAGGUUUCGUGAUCUCUACACCCAGUGCCGCAGGGGAUAUCCCACACCAUUGUGAUUUAUAUAACCUGCAACUAAAUAAUCAACAGGACGGCGAAACCUUUAUUUAUUUUAUUUGACUUUUUUUCCCCCUUUUUCUUUCUUUUGACAUAUGUAUGUACAUUAUGAAGAUAUUCCUAUAAUCAAUGAUGUAAAUUGACUGGAUACUAAUUGUUACUGAAAUUAUCUUAUUGUAAUUUCCAUAGUGCCUGACGAAGGCCAGAUACGGCCGAAAACGUUUGCACAA